GAAAUCAUGUGCCUUUGAAAUCUGUGUUUUUCUAAACUUUUUAGGGGGAAAAAAGGGGGGGUUGCUGUCCUCUGUUGCUGUUUACAUGCAAAUGUUACAGUAAUAGAAAUAUUCCCUUUUAGCAUUCAAGGUUAGUUUACUGGUUGGCAUAUUGCUCUAUGGAGACAUAUUAUUCUGACUUUCGUUCAACCAAUCUCUUCUCUUAUUGCUGUGUGUAUGCUUGAGGAGGAGUAAAUAUCAUUUGUAAAUCUUGAUACAUCAUGGAUGGAACUGACAGUACGCUCACUAUCAUGAGACAACUGAGUAAGUUUAAAGUUAAUAUGUAUUUUUUGGCUAUAAUCCAAUGAUAGAUAGAUAGAACCUAUACAUGUUAUAAUGUUAUAGCAAAAGAUAUCUGUAGAACAAGAUCUUCACAAGAUAUUUCACCAAAAUAAUCAUGAGACUUAUUAUAAGAGCAAUUGCGCUUGAAUAAUUGUUUUACCAAAUUUUAUAUAUUUAAAAAUUUUAGAGUUAAUAAAAAAAGAG
rnacentral:lncRNA from 1 species